GACGGAGGGUGCUAGCGUUGUUCGGAAUGACUGGGCGUAAAGGGCGCGUAGGCGGCCGCCUAAGUCAGACGUGAAAUCCCUCGGCUCAACCGGGGAACUGCGUCUGAUACUGGGUGGCUUGAAUCCGGGAGAGGGAUGCGGAAUUCCAGGUGUAGCGGUGAAAUGCGUAGAUAUCUGGAGGAACACCGGUGGCGAAGGCGGCAUCCUGGACCGGCAUUGACGCUGAGGCGCGAAAGCCAGGGGAGCAAACGGG
rnacentral:rRNA from 1 species